UACGGAGGGGGCUAGCGUUGUUCGGAAUUACUGGGCGUAAAGCGCACGUAGGCGGCUUUGUAAGUUAGAGGUGAAAGCCCAGGGCUUAACCCUGGAAUUGCCUUUAAGACUGCAUCGCUAGAAUCGUGGAGAGGUGAGUGGAAUUCCGAGUGUAGAGGUGAAAUUCGUAGAUAUUCGGAAGAACACCAGUGGCGAAGGCGACUCACUGGACACGGUAUUGACGCUGAGGUGCGGAAAGCGUGGGGAGCAAACAGG
rnacentral:rRNA from 1 species